UACGUAGGGUGCGAGCGUUAAUCGGAAUUACUGGGCGUAAAGCGUGCGCAGGCGGUAAUGUAAGACAGAUGUGAAAUCCCCGGGCUUAACCUGGGACCUGCAUUUGUGACUGCAUUGCUGGAGUGCGGCAGAGGGGGAUGGAAUUCCGCGUGUAGCAGUGAAAUGCGUAGAUAUGCGGAGGAACACCGAUGGCGAAGGCAAUCCCCUGGGCCUGCACUGACGCUCAUGCACGAAGCGUGGGAGCAACAG
rnacentral:rRNA from 1 species